UACGGAGGGUGCAAGCGUUAAUCGGAAUCACUGGGCGUAAAGCGCACGUAGGCUGUUUUGCAAGUCAGGUGUGAAAUCCCUUGGCUCAACCGAGGAAUUGCACUUGAAACUGCAGGACUAGAGUACUGGAGAGGGUGGCGGAAUUCCCGGUGUAGGAGUGAAAUCCGUAGAUAUCGGGAGGAACACCAGUGGCGAAGGCGGCCACCUGGACAGAUACUGACGCUGCGGUGCGAAAGCGUGGGGAGCAAACAGGAUUAGAUACCCUGGUAGUCCACGCUGUAAACGAUGGAUGCUAGGUGUCGGGGAGCAAGCUUCGGUGCCGCAGUUAACGCGUUAAGCACUCCGCCUGGGGAGUACGGUCGCAAGAUUAAA
rnacentral:rRNA from 1 species